UUGACACGCGCCCAUCCCCCCACAUCUCACAGUCGGAGUCAGUUUCACAGAGCAGCGCAGGAGGACGACAGACACAUAAAGAACAUUAACAGUUUAGCACAAAUGUUUCCCGUGGAAGUUUGAAUCUCUCUCAGUCAGGGGGGAGAUUGACUGACAGACUGUCUACUCGCCACCAAACAGUAAUUUACCCUGAAACCUUUUACAGUAAGGACUAACGUUAACUGACUGUCUGUCUGCUCUCAACCAAACAGUCAUUCAGGACCUUGUAAAGUUUAGCGCAAACGUUUCCUGCGCAAGUUUGAAUCUCUCAGUCAGGGGGGAGAUUGACUGACAGACUGUCUACUCGCCACCAGUCAGUUACACAGAAACCUUUUAAAGUUUAGCACAAACGUUUCCCGCGCAAGUUUGGAUCUUUACCAUUGAGGGUGGCUGACUGAUUUCUACCAACCAUCAUUCACACGCAAAAACUUUAAAGAUAAGUAUGAACGUGCCCAGAGCAGUUUUCGAUCUUUACCAUUAAGGUGGCUGACUGACUAUCCUCUACCACCCGUCAUUAACACAACAAAAACUAAAGAAAUGUAACUCCAUAUGGACCUAUUCAUUUACUCAUUAUGCUGUGAGUACACCACAGUUUUAUCAGGGAAAAAAUGUAUAUUUGUGUGUUUUUCACUGCUUGGCAAGGACAGAUGUGGCCCUGUUAAAAAUGUUUAAAUGUCGUUUGGUUUAAGGAACAGCACACUGAUUUUGUUUUAAAAUAUUCCUGUUUGGACAGUCUGUUAAAGUCAUAAAGCAGGGGUGGGGAACCCUGGUCCUGGAGGGCCACUGUCCUGCAGAGUAUAGUUCCAACCCUAAUUAAACACACCUGAAAAAUCUAAUUCAAGUCUUCAGGAUUACUUGAAAAUGAAAUUCAGGUGUGUUUGAUUAGGGUUGGAACUAAACUCUGCAGGACAGUGGCCCUCCAGGACCCAGGGUUCCCCACUCCUGUCAUAAAGGAAUACAUGAUAUAUUUCAUAAGUAAAGUGUAAAUGUAAUAUUAGUUUUUAAUGUUGUGAAUUUGGACUGAACAGCACACUUCUGUUUUAUAUCUAAACCUUUUGUAAAAUAAAUGAUUGUUGAAUAAACUCACUGUGUAUUUUAUCUUUUCUGUUAUCAUUUUUUUUACUAAUGUUUAAAAUGUACCUUUACGCUAACCGAUUGGCUAAACCAACACAAAUAUAUUGAGUCAUAUGCAAUUUUAAUUUAAAGUUUACAGUACUUAGAUUGAGAUAUAUGUAUAAGUUUUAAAACCAUAAUCAAUGAGUGUACCCUGUCAAAGCCAAUUUUGUACCCUUUUUGAAGGGUCCAUAUUUGUACUGUUAAAUAAAGGUACAAAAUUGUCACCAGAGGUACAAAACUGGUCUCUUAAGGUACAAAUCACAAGGGUACAAAUUUGUACCCUCUGCCAAGGGUACAAAAACUGUACCCUUGAGGGUACAGCCCCAGUGACAAGCCAUU